GACGAACGCUGGCGGCAUGCCUAAUACAUGCAAGUCGAACGCGACCAGCCGGUGCUUGCACUGGCGAAGUCGAGUGGCGAACGGGUGAGUAACACGUGAGAAACCUACCCUGGAGUGGGGAAUAACUCGAAGAAAUUCGAGCUAAUACCGCAUACCUUCUUACCGUCGAAUGGUGGUUUGAAGAAAAGAUUUAUCGCUCUGGGAGGGUCUCGCGGCCUAUCAGCUAGUUGGUGAGGUAACGGCUCACCAAGGCAUCGACGGGUAGCUGGUCUGAGAGGACGAUCAGCCACACUGGAACUGAGACACGGUCCAGACUCCUACGGGAGGCAGCAGUAGGGAAUCUUGCGCAAUGGGCGAAAGCCUGACGCAGCAAUGCCGCGUGCGGGACGAAAGGCCCUAGGGUCGUAAACCGCUUUCAGUAGGGCGAAAAUGACGGUAACCUGCAGAAGAAAGCUCCGGCCAACUACGUGCCAGCAGCCGCGGUAAU
rnacentral:rRNA from 1 species